UGGCGGACGGGUGAGUAACGCGUGAGUAACCUGCCUUCAAGAGGGGGAUAACAUUCUGAAAAGAAUGCUAAUACCGCAUGACAUAUCGGAACCACAUGGUUUUGAUAUCAAAGAUUUUAUCGCUUGAAGAUGGACUCGCGUCCGAUUAGUUAGUUGGUGAGGUAACGGCUCACCAAGACCGCGAUCGGUAGCCGGACUGAGAGGUUGAACGGCCACAUUGGGACUGAGACACGGCCCAGACUCCUACGGGAGGCAGCAGUGGGGGAUAUUGCGCAAUGGGGGCAACCCUGACGCAGCAACGCCGCGUGAAGGAUGAAGGUUUUCGGAUUGUAAACUUCUUUUAUUAAGGACGAAAAAUGACGGUACUUAAUGAAUAAGCUCCGGCUAACUACGUGCCAGCAGCCGCGGUAAUACGUAGGGAGCAAGCGUUGUCCGGAUUUACUGGGUGUAAAGGGUGCGUAGGCGGCUUUGCAAGUCAGAUGUGAAAUCUAUGGGCUCAACCCAUAAACUGCAUUUGAAACUGUAGAGCUUGAGUGAAGUAGAGGCAGGCGGAGUUCCCCGUGUAGCGGUGAAAUGCGUAGAGAUGGGGAGGAACACCAGUGGCGAAGGCGGCCUGCUGGGCUUUAACUGACGCUGAGGCACGAAAGCGUGGGUAGCAAACAGGAUUAGAUACCCUGGUAGCCCACGCUGUAA
rnacentral:rRNA from 1 species